GUGAAGACAAGGACAUCAGAUAUAUCUGUUGAACCUGAACUUGGUGCAGAAAAUCAGGACACAGAUUUCAUUCCAAUUGUACGUUCUGGAGCAUGUAAGGACAUUGGUUUUCGCCCAAGCAUGGAAGAUGUGUAUAUAUGCAUUGACAAUUUUAUGACUGAUUGUGGCCUUGAUAAUGUUUUCAAUGGGCCCAAUGCCUUCUACGGGGUGUUUGAUGGACAUGGAGGGAAACAUGCGGCCGACUUUGCAUGCUACCAUUUACCAAAAUUCAUUGUCGAGGAUGAAGAAUUCCCAAGUGAGGUUGAGAGGGUUGUUGCUUCUGCAUUUCUACAAACUGAUGCUGCUUUUGCAGAGGCUUGCUCCCGGAAUGCAGCCCUUGCUUCUGGCACCACAGCACUGGCAGCUCUUGUUAUUGGGAGGUUGUUGGUGGUGGCAAAUGUUGGAGACUGCCGAGCAGUGUUAUGUCGUCUUGGCAAAGCAAUUGAAAUGUCUAGAGAUCACAAACCAAUUUGCAGCAAAGAGAGGAAGCGUAUCGAGGCAUCAGGGGGGCAUGUUUAUGAUGGUUACCUCAAUGGUCUACUUAAUG
rnacentral:misc_RNA from 1 species